CCAAUAGCGUAUAUUAAAGUUGUUGCAGUUAAAAAGCUCGUAGUUGAAUUUCGGGACCGGUGGGUCGGUCGUGCCUCCGGUACGCACUGUCUUUACCGGUUCCUCCCUUCUGAAGAACCGCGAUGUCAUUAAUUUGGUGUUGCGGGGAAUCAGGACUGUUACUGUGAAAAAAUUAGAGUGUUUAAAGCAGGCUAAAGCUUGAAUACAUUAGCAUGGAAUAAUGAAAUAGGACGUUUGAUCUUAUUUUGUUGGUUUCUAAGAUCGACGUAAUGAUUAAUAGGGAUAGUUGGGGGCAUUAGUAUUCAAUUGUCAGAGGUGAAAUUCUUGGAUUUAUUGAAGACUAACUACUGCGAAAGCAUUUGCCAAGGAUGUUUUCAUUAAUCAAGAACGAAAGUUAGGGGAUCGAAGACGAUCAGAUACCGUCGUAGUCUUAACCAUAAACUAUGCCGACUAGGGAUCGGAUGAUGUUAAUUUUUAAUGACUCAUUCGGCGCCUUACG
rnacentral:rRNA from 1 species